rnacentral:sRNA from 1 species
AAUGUUUCUAAACACAUACUAUGAUGUCAAAAUGAGUCAAUCCCACGCAUGAUUAAUUAAUUGGGGUUUACUUUAAUCCAGAUUUUUUUCUUUUUUUUGGUGUAAAACUUUGAUUCAGAUUAUGCAAACCAAGUAGUAGUACUACUACAUGUAACUAUUUAGCUAUUUAUUCGUUUUAAAUUUUUUUU